rnacentral:rRNA from 1 species
CACGUAGUUAGCCGUGGCUUUCUCGCAAGGUACCGUCAAGGUGCCGCCAUUGCCUGCGGCACUUGUUCUUCCCUUACAACAGAACUUUACGACCCGAGGGCCUUCAUCGUUCACGCGGCGUUGCUCCAUCAGACUUUCGUCCAUUGUGGAAGAUUCCCUACUGCUGCCUCCCGUAGGAGUCUGGGCCGUGUCUCAGUCCCAGUGUGGCCGAUCACCCUCUCAGGUCGGCUAUGCAUCGUCGCCUUGGUGGGCCGUUACCCCACCAACUAGCUAAUGCACCGCAAAGCCAUCCCCAGGCGACGCCGGAGCGCCUUUCAUCCUCGGACCAUGCGGUCCGAUGACCCAUCCGGUAUUACGCCCCGUAUUUCUCGUGGUUACUCCCAGACCUGAGGGCAGGGUUCUUUACGUGUUACUCACCCGUCCGCCGCUCAUUCCGUCGAACCGUCCCCCGAAGGGUUCGGAUGACUUCCUGCGCUCGACGUGCAUGUAUUAGGCACGCCGCCACGCGUCGU